ensembl:lncRNA
GGUGUAUUGUCUGCUGCUUUGUCUGUUUCCAGCACGGGUUAAUCGGAAUUAACAGCUGGCGGUUGCUGCGCAUGCGCGGAUCCGCCAUACAGAGGAAAUAGCCGGGGAGUAGGUAGCUGCCUGAGAACGAGAGAGCGAAUACCACGGAUACAGCUGGUUUCUCUUCAAACAAUUAUGACCGUCUUUCCGUUGUCGCUUUCUCUCAGGUAUCUGUCUCCCGGUCGCUGAAUGGCGCUGGUUACCGUGCAGCGCUCGCCGACCCCCAGCACCAGUUCCAGCCCCUGUGUUUCGGAGUCUGGCAGUGGGGAGGAUGACCGGCGCUCUCAGCCUAGGAGGUAGGACAGAUGCACACACCCCUGACAUCAUCACUCUUGUUUGUGACACUACAAAUGUCACUCUGUGCCAUUGUGACAUCAGAGAGAGACCAUGUGCAAUUGUGAGAAAUCUGAUGUGUGACAGUAAGCAGGUUUCCAUUGACCCAGGUUUAUUUGCCAAAAGCAACGUUGCAAAUAAAAAUCCUUGAGACGUGUAAUGGAAACGGAAUAUAUAUGGGAUACAUUUUCUAAAGAUUGACAAUAUUUUUAUCCGUUCGACGGGUGGAUUUUUCUUCGGUCUAACUUUUAUUGUGGCAAAUUUAUUUAAUUUAUUUUAUUUCACCUUUUAUUUAACCAGGUAGUCAAGUUGAGAACAAGUUCUCAUUUACAAUUGCGACCUGGCCAAGAUAAAGUAAAGCAGUUCGACACAUACAACAACGCAGAGUUACACAUGGAGUAAACAAACAUACAGUAGAAAAAUAAGUCUAUAUACAAUGUGAGCAAAUGAGGUGAGAAGGGAGGUAAAGGCAAAAAAGGCCAUGGUGGUGAAGUAAAUACAAUAUAGCAAGUAAAACACUGGAAUGAUAGAUUUGCAGUGGAAGAAUGUGCAAAGUACAGAGAGAAAUAAUGGGGUGCAAAGGAGCAAAAUAAAUACGGUAGGGGUAGUUGUUUGGGCUAAAUUAUAGAUGGGCUGUGUACAGGUGCAGUAAUCUGUGAGCUGCUCUGACAGCUGGUGCUUAAAGCUAGUGAGGGAGAUAAGUGUUUCCAGUUUCAGAGAUUUUUGUAGUUCGUUCCAGUCAUUGGCAGCAGAGAACUGGAAGCAGAGGCGGCCAAAGGAAGAAUUGGUUUUGGGGGUGACCAGAGAGAUAUACCUGCUGGAGCGCGUGCUACAGGUGGGUGCUGCUAUGGUGACCAGCGAGCUGAGAUAAGGGGGACUUUACCCAGCAGGGUCUUGUAGAUGACCUGGAGCCAGUGGGUUUGGCGACGAGUAUGAAGCGAGGGGCAGCCAACGAGAGCGUAUAGGUCGCAGUGGUGGGUAAUAUAUGGGCUUUGGUGACACAACGGAUGGUACUGUGAUAGGCUGCAUCCAAUUUAUCAAGUAGGGUAUUGGACAGUUUGGUCAGUUUCACGAAGGUAUGUUUGGCAGCAUGAGUGAAGGACACUUUGUUGCGAAAUAGGAAGCCAAUUCUAGAUUUAACUUUGGAUUGGAGAUGUUUGAUGUGAGUCUGGAAGGAGAGUUUACAGUCUAACCAGACACCUAGGUAUUUGUAGUUGUCCACAUAUUCUAAGUCAGAACUGUCCAGAGUAGUGAUGCUGGAGGGGCGGGCAGGUGCAGGCAGCGAUCAGUUGAAGAGCAUGCAUUUAGUUUUACUUGUAUUUAAGAGCAGUUGGAGGCCACGAUAUGGCAUUGAAGCUCGUCUGGAGGGUUGUUAACACAGUGUCCAAAGAAGGUCCAGAAGUAUACAGAAUGAUAUCGUCAGUGUAGAGGUGGAUCAGACUCACCAGCAGCAAGAGUGACAUCAUUGAUGUAUACAGAGAAGAGUCGGCCCAAGAAUUGAACCCUGUGGUACCCCCAUAGACUGCCAGAGGCCCGGACAACAGGCCCUCCGAUUUGACACACUGAACUCUAUCAGAAAAGUAGUUGGUGAACCAGGCAAGGCAAUCAUUUGAGAAACCAAGGCUAUCGAGUCUGCUGAUGAGGAUGUGGUGAUUGACAGAGUCGAAAGCCUUUGCCAGGUCAAUGAAUACGGCUGCACAGUAUUGUUUCGUAUCGAUGGCGGUUAAGAUAUCGUUUAAGACCUUGAGCGUGGCUGAGGUGCACCCAUGACCAGCUCUGAAACCAGAUUGCAUAGCGGAGAAGUUGCGGUGGGAUUCGAAAUGGUCGGUAAUCUGUUUGUUGACUUGGCUUUCGAAGACCUUAGAAAAGCAGGGUAGGAUAGAUAUAGGUCUGUAGCAGUUUGGGUCAAAUGUGUCCUCCCCCUUUGAAGAGGUGGAUGACCGCAGCUGCUUUCCAAUCUUUGGGAAUCUCAGACGACACGAAAGAGAGGUUGAACAGGCUAGUAAUAGGGGUUGCAACAAUUUUGGCAGAUCAUUUUAGAAAGAAAGGAUCCAGAUUGUCUAGCCCGGCUGAUUUGUAGGGGUCCAGAUUUUGCAGCUCUUUCAGAACAUCAGCUGACUGGAUUUGGGAGAAGGAGAAAUGGGGAAGGCUUGGGCGAGUUGCUGUGGGGGGUGCAGUGCUGUUAACCGGGGUAGGGGUAGCCAGGUGGAAAGCAUGGCCAGCCGUAGAAAAAUGCUUAUUGAAAUUCUCAAUUAUAGUGGAUUUUUUGGUGGUGACAGAGUUGCCUAUCCUCAGUGCAGUGGGCAGCUGGGAGAUGUUCUUAUUCUCCAUGGACUUUAGUGUCCCAGAACUUUUUUGAGUUUGUGUUGCAGGAAGCAAAUUUCUGCUUGAAAAAGCUAGCCUUGGCUUUUCUAACUGCCUGUGUAUAUUGGUUUCUAGCUUCCCUGAAAAGUUGCAUAUCACGGGGGCUGUUUGAUGCUAAUGCAGAACCCCAUAGGAUGUUUUUGUGUUGGUUAAGGGCAGUCAGGUCUGGAGAGAACCAAGGGCUAUAUCUGUUCCUGGUUCUAAAUUUCUAAAUUUCUUCAUCAAAUGACGAUGGAAACUGUGUUUUUUGAAUAAAUUAUGAUUGACAAAUAAUUUUGAAGGUACGCAGGGCACAUGAUGUCACUGCAUAACUAUAAAGCUCACUCCACAAUAGAUACCGCAUUUAAAACAACUGGGACCUCGGAAAAAUAGGUCAAAUCAUGACAUUAGUGAUCCUCAGGUCAGAAAGUCAGAGUUCUAGAAAGAGGCCAGAGUUUCCGAGUCGGAUGGCUGUACAAAUUUCAAUUUUUUUUGCCCAGUUAGAGCUUGUUUUUCCCCCCCAGAGUUCCCAGUUUCGCACUGAAGUCUGCUAUUUCGGAGUUCCGAGCUUCCAGUUGUUUUGAAUGCGGCAUAAUUGUAAAUGCCUAGGUCUUGCGAAAAACUAUUUUAUUUUUUUCAACUACAAGCAUUUUUCUUUGCAGGGAAGUGUUGUCCUGACUUUCAAGAAUGCCUGAAUUGCUUCGCCUUGCUUUUCUGGUUGGCUGGCAAGUUUCACCUCGCAAUUAUUUCAGAUCUACAGGAGUGCAAGUCUCACCAUGGCACAGUCCAUGGGCGAUACGAUGGCACAUGAUGAUUAUAAGAAUAUGGCAAAUAUUAGUCAUUUAUUACAUUCUAUCCAUGCUGGCUUUCGCGGACUACCUGAGACAUGAAACAGAUAGGUGGGAGGGAAAUGUAUUGAUACCCAAUUUGCCUAAAGGGGUAAUGAAAACACUUCAACCACAACAUUUUUAUUCAACACUAGGUUUUUGCGUCAACUUAUUUUUUAGGUGUGGUAUCAUUAUGUCCAGCUGUUUUCAUCGACACAAGAUGGUUCAAUGGAAACGCACCCUAAGCAGGCAAUUGUCACAUGUAUUUUCUAUGCAAACUUUCUAAAUCGAGAAAUCACUGGACAAGUUAAUGGAAACAGCUGGUGACCUCAAGCAGCACCUGUGUGAGCGUUCUGUCCUGUGUGAUUGUGACAUCAUAAAGAACUCCUCUGUGAUUGACUCCAUACAGAACUCCUGUGCUAUUGUAACAUCACAAUGCGAUUCUCCCUUUGUUGCUUAGACCAGUGAGUGUCUGAGCUGUGGAGUCGUUGUAGAUCAGGUUUGUCAUGUCUCUGUCCACAACGGACUCCAGCUGAACCGCUCUCACGUAACAUUGCCUUCUGCUCGUGUGUUCGUCUGUGUGUUUACUAAACAAAGUCUGUACUCGGGCUUCAUCUCUUCCCAAUGCUUUAUUUGUCCCAUUUUUGUCAGAAAGGCUCAGUCAAUGUUGGCACUGCAGUUCUCUGACUGUCAACUAGAGAGCAGUGUAGCUUGUCAGAGCCUGUCAGGAUGUGGGCCAAAAUAAUUAGAACAGAACAUGGAUCACAGGCCAGUUUGGUGUUUCUGUUAUCGCAUUGAGAGAGCUGUCAGUGUUUGUGCAGCUGGGAGUGAAAUCAAUAUUCACAAGGAGCAGCAAUGUGUGUGUGUGUGUGUGUGUG